AUGAACCGUUAUAACCGGCGAUACCCGAAUGGGGAAACCCAGUGUGACUCGUCACACUAUCAUUAACUGAAUCCAUAGGUUAAUGAGGCGAACCGGGGGAACUGAAACAUCUAAGUACCCCGAGGAAAAGAAAUCAACCGAGAUUCCCCCAGUAGCGGCGAGCGAACGGGGAGGAGCCCAGAGCCUGAAUCAGCAUGUGUGUUAGUGGAAGCGUCUGGAAAGGCGCGCGAUACAGGGUGACAGCCCCGUACACAAAAGCGCAUGUGCUGUGAGCUCGAUGAGUAGGGCGGGACACGUGGUAUCCUGUCUGAAUAUGGGGGGACCAUCCUCCAAGGCUAAAUACUCCUGACUGACCGAUAGUGAACCAGUACCGUGAGGGAAAGGCGAAAAGAACCCCGGCGAGGGGAGUGAAAAAGAACCUGAAACCGUGU
rnacentral:rRNA from 1 species